GCCAGUGCAGGCUUUGAGCCCAGCCACCUUCUGGCCAAACUGUUCACUCUCCCUCAGCCACAAGUCUACCCUCCAAUGUAGGCAUGCACUGUGGCUGGUUUCUCUCCUGGGGGAAAAGAGGGCUGUGGGGGCUUACAGACCAGUGUGAGAUCUCUACCUGCUUUUGCUUGAUGACAUCCUGGGUGCUUGAACCUGGAGUGAGGCAGCAACUCUAAGGGGUCAUGGAUCAAGCAGAUAGCAAAGGGCUGGGCCUUUAAGCCCAGGCAGACACACCUGUUGUGCUGAUGAUCUUGGAGAACCAGGCAAGAGAGCAUGGAUGGCACAGUGUGAUACAUCCUGACCAUCUGACUAUCCUGCGGAGCGGUCUGGAACAUCUUCAUUUUUAAAGCUGGUUGUGAUCAUGAGAACGGCAUGAAGAAGGACUGAAGACCUCACUUCAGGGCCCAGGAAGGACUGGUCCAGGACUCAGGAGGUGUGUGUUGUAUUCUUGACGCUUUCACUGAGUUGCUGUGGGAUAUUAAGAAAGUCUUACCAUCCCUGGGCCUCCCCUUCUGGAAUACAGAAGUUCAUCCCAUUCCCCAUCGUGAGAAUGUGACAUGGACAAGGACAAAUGGCAUCACUUAAAAUACAUGUCACCUACAUUCAAGGCAAGGCGGCUUUGAUAAAGGUAAGUCCAUGUCUCUUCUCUCCACCUCCUCCACUGAGCUCUAGGCUGCUUCUUUCUGGGAGCAGUCAAAUCAGUUCAGAGGACCUCACUGUCUGCAGGGCAGAAAGCAUUGACAGGAGGGCUUCUAGCUUCUUUCCUACAAUUGCAGCUCCUAUCUGACCCCUUGAGGACAGAUAGUUGGAGACAAGGGGAGAUUGAGGUUGGGGGAGAGAGAGGACGCUCUGUUUUACACCCUUCCAACCUGACGCCACCAGGGCUGGGAUGGUGACAGGCCCUGGACUCAGCGUUCAGAGCAGCUGACUCCGUGGACAAGAAGCAGAUAAACUGCACCAGGUCUCUUAAUGAACCCAGCGCCAGCUUCAGAUAAACUGUCGCCACUUACUCCUCCCCGCCCUCCUUCAGGAAAGACUCCGCUUUGCAUCAGCUAUGGGCUUGGAGCAGAAGCUGAGAUCUCAGUGCUGGCUGCUCUCCAGGGAAGUUCUGGAGGGAGCAGAGACUUCAGGGAACUCUGAUGAGAACCUUGAUUCCUCUUAACUCCAGCUGAACCCAAGUCUCCAGGACCAAUGACAAGCAGAAAACUCACAACUGUCUGAAAAACACAGGGCUCAAGCCAACAGCUGCAAAAGCCUGAAGUUGAUGAGUGUGGAAUUUACAUGCUUACACUGGAAAACAGGCUCUGCUGCAUUUUCUUUGACUGGAAGCAGGAAGUGUGGGAAAAGUCAAGCGCAUUGACUGAAUCCAGUUUGGAGCCAGGGGUCAGCAGAAGGAGAUUGUUGGGUGGCAGUAACUGUGGACUGCCUGUUAACAUCCGCUAAUGUUUGGGGUUCUCUCUGAGAUUUUUGAUGGGAAAAACCUGAAGUUAACCAGGCAGGGGAUCUCAGUGCAUCAAACGGACACAGGGCUGAAUGGGAAAUGCCUAGUUUUCUUUGCUCCCUUCCCCAAGAGGGCAGAAAUGAAGGAAAGUUCUGAGGAGAGUUGAAUUAUUAUGCUGCAAGAAGUUUUCUGAAGAUCUGCGUUAUGAAGAUGGAUCCCAUUAGUAAAUUUGACAGCUAUUCCACUCCUCCUUGCAUUUUAGCAUCUCAAGCCAAAAUAUAAAUGAAAGGAAUACACUAUAUCUCAAAGGAAGCUAUCAAUCCUUACCCUCCCUGAGUGGGCACAAUUUGGGGGUUCUUCUACUUAGGUUGGGCUGGUUUUGCUGCUUUACCCACAUACUCUCAUCCAACACUCUUUGUGUCUGGUGAAGUCUGUGAGCCAUCAGACAGAGAAGUCUAUAAUUUUAUCUUCCUUUGUGCGCAUCAGACCCUACGCUGCAGAGUGAGGGAAGCCUAUGUGCAACAAGACACAAUGUGGCCUUUGAUCAUAUGAAGAUUGGAGAGGCUUGGUUCAUCCUUGCCCAGCUUCUUUGGAAAUCAGCACAAUGACAUUUUCCCUUCUAUAUAGUGAUCUGGGUAGGCAGGGAUAAUACAAUAUAAUAUAGUAUAGUAUAAUAUAGUAUAAUAUAAAUGACUUUUUUCCUUCUAUAUAAUGAUCUGGGCAGGCAGGGAUUCAAGUCUUCUGAUAUGGGUGGGAGAAAGCCCUCCCUUUGUCCUUACCCUGCUCAACUUGUUUUGGCCAGGAAAUCUAGCCUUGGGAUUUUCUAAGAGUUAGAUCAGAAAGGAAGAGAGUACUAGGCUGGGAGUAGUGGCUUACGUCUGAGACAUACUAGGCAGGAAGUGGUGGCUUAUGCCUGUAAUCCAAGCACUUUGGGAAGCUGAGACGGGAGGAUCACUUGAGCCCAGGAGUUUGAGACCAACCUGGGUAGCAUAGUGAAACCCUGACUCAUUUAUUUAACUUAAAAAAAAAUUAAAAUAAGAGAGUACCAGCUUCAGGGUAUAUCUAUUAGAUAUGUCAGUUUCCAGGGGUUGUUUGCAGGGAUGUAUAACCCCAUUCCUAUUCCCUUUAAUUUAGCUGGUUUUUCGUCUCAUAGCAUUGCUGGGGGCAGGUAGGUUUCUUUCCCUUCCUACUAUUCCACCCACUCAGAUCUUCUACUCCAAGCUAUUUGUAAGCUCAUUCAUUCAUCCAACACAUAUGGGACACCAAUAGCGUGCAGAGCACCACAUAGGCAUGGGAGAGAACUGACCACUUCUUCCUUGGCACCCCAGUGUUCCCUAUGCAGACUUCUGUCACAAACCUAACAGCAUUUUAUUGCAUUUAUUUGAUAUGUCUUCAGAUAUCUCCCUUUAAAAGACAAUACACAGCUGAGGGAAGGAAUUGUACUAGUAUUUUUUUUUUUUUUUUGAGACGGCGUCUGGCUCUGUCACCCAGGCUGGAGUGCAAUGGCGUGAUGUCAGCUCACUGCAAUCUCCACCCCCCGGGUUCGAGCGGUUCUCCUGCCUCGGCCUCCUAAGUAGCUGGGACUACAGGCGCCCGCCAGCAUGCCCAGCUAACUUUUUUUAAAAAUAUUUUUAAUAGAGACGGGGUUUCACCAUGUUGGCCUGGAUGGUCUCGAUCUCCUAACCUCGUGAUCUGCCCGCCUCGGCCUCCCAAAGUGCUGGGAUUACAGGCAUGAGCCACCGUGCCCGGCCUAGUAUUUGUUUUUAUCCUAAGUGUCUAGCCAGGGUCUGGUAUAUGGGAAAUAUUCAGUAUAUGUUGACUAAAUGGAAUGAACACAGAAGGUUGAGAGGACAAGGACGAAUUAAUCAGAGAGAUCCAUGUUUUGGAAAGAAAAUAGAUCUAAGUUUUUCUUCUGAGUAUCUUGGGCUUAGGGAAACUUUCAAAAUAAUCCUGGGUUUGGAAAUUUGACCUCUUCAACCUUGACAUUGCUACAGCCUCAGUGUGGUUGCUGGGCUGUUAAUAGUGUCACAAAGAUAUUUGACAGGACUGAGGACAGCUGAUAUGUCAUCAUUUUGAGCACCACAUAGGGCAUUUAUCAGUGAUAGAAUAUUGCUUAGAAACUGCUGCAGCAAUGCAUUUUGUUAGUUGAUUUGUAAAAUUAUUAAUAUACCUAACUGUUCAUAUUUUUCUGUGCAUUUAAAAGACACUUUAUUAAGGUAUAAUUGACACACAAAAAGCUGAACAUAUUUAAUGUGUACAACUUGAUUAGUUGUAUAUUUGUGAAGCCUUCACCACAGUCAAUGCCAUAAACAUAUCCACACCUCCAAAAGUUUGUGUGCAUUCUUGAACAGAGCCAUCAAAUGUUAAAAGUGAAAAUACUAUAGAAGGGAGUUUGCCCCUUUCUUUUUACAAAUGAGGAAUGGGAGCCCAGAGACUGAGCAAGGGUGUAUUACCAGCUAAUGGAAGAGCUGGGAUUAGAAUCAAGGCCUCCCAAUUCACAAUAAAGGCUUAGAAACCAGGGAGAAGAUGGCAGUGGCUGUGUAAGAGUUACUUCUCUCUUAUUCAGGGGACUUGAGCAUUUUUUCCUAGUUCCUAUACACAGAGGCAUUCCUUUCUCUUUCUCUCUCUCUUUUUCCUUCCUUCCUUCCUUCAUUUAUUUCUAUUCCUAACAUUUAGAGUAUGGGAUACUUAUGGUGUAGCAGGAAAGAGUUUAUACACAUUCUCUCAUUUAAUCUUUUUAUUUUGAGAUGGAGUUUCGCUCUUAUCACCCAGGCUGGAGCACAAUGGCACCAUCUCGGCUCACUGCAACCUCCACCUCCUGGGUUCAUGCCAUUCUCCUGCCUCAGCCUCCUGAGUAGCUGGGAUCACAGGCAUCUGCCACCAUGCCCAGCUAAUUUUUGUAUUUUUAGUAGAGACAGGGUUUCACCAAGUUGGCCAGGCUGGUCUCGAACUCCUAACCUCAGAUGAUCCACCUGCCUCAGCCUCCCAAAGUGCUGGUAUUACAAGCAUGAGCCACCAUGCCUAGCCCUCUCAUUUAAUCUUCACUACAACCCUAUGAAGUAAACAUAAUAAUAACAACAGCAACAGUUAUUAUUCCCAUUUUGUAGAAGAGGUACAAGGAAGUCAAACAACUUGCCCAAGAUCCCGAAAUCAGUAAGUGGCAGGGUUGGAAUUCAAACUCAAAUAUGUCUCACUGUAGAGUCCAUGCUCUUAACCAUGGCUCUAUAAUUUUUGUUUGUUUCUUUGUUUGUUUGUUUUUAACAG
rnacentral:lncRNA from 1 species